ensembl:rRNA 5S_rRNA 5S ribosomal RNA
GCUUACGGCCACACCGCCUGGUUCACACCCGAUCUCGUUUGAUCUCGGAAGCUAAGAUAUGUUGGGCCUGGUUAGUACUUGGAUGGGAGACUGCCUAGGAAUACCAGGUGCUGUAAGCU